AUGCACCGCUGCCGCCCCCUCCCUGCGCUGGCACCUCCGCGCUCGCCCCUACGCGCCGCAGACGGAUGCUGUGUCCCAGGACUCUCCCAACACCCCCUCGGAUGCGGCACCCUGAAGAGCGUCCUUUGGGGCACUUCCAGGGUGCCCAGCCCGGCCAUCCCACGGGGAUGGGGCCGAAGGCCACCUGAUGGUGUCCCCGGGGGGAGCCGGCACCCCCCGCGCCUGUUACCUUCUAAGGACACGGGCUCGAAGAGGCCAAACUGCUCCAGCACCUUGAUGAAGAGGACCAAGACCACCAGCACCGCGAUCAUUUCAAGGCCUUCCAGGUUCAUGGUGGGGGUGUCUCAUGGCCUCGCACCUCCCGGCCCCCUCCCCACCGCCCGCAAGCCGUCCUGGAGCCCCGUCACCCCAACGCCGUGGCCGCCGGAGCACGCAUCCCCAGGGAGCCCUGCUGGUGUCCCCCAGGGGGGAUCGGCUGUCACCCCUCUACUUGGCUGCAGGCUGGCGCGCGAGCAAGGGGUCAGCGCGGGGCUGUCACAGGCGACUCGUGGGGCCGCCAGCCGAGAGCCCAGCCAGAGCGGGGCCGUGCAUGCGAGCUGGAGCAGAGCGAGGCCGAGCGGAGGGAGGCGUGGGGGGCGGCGGGGACGGGGGGGGAAGGAGCCAUGCCCUCCCAUUCCAAUGACACCACCUCCAUCGAUUUGCUUAAUGCAGUUGCUAAGGAAACGGGCCACAGAUAUUAAAAGGCACUCGGUUCCCGGGGGGGGACAGGACGCCAGGCACUGGCUAAACAUCCCAGAUGGGGAUGACUCAGACUCAUCCUCUGCGCCCCACAGGCUCGCCUGCCCCACGGGGACCCAGUCAGGCCCAGGUGCCUAUAACCCUCUCCUUAGGGGGGUCUGGGGCAACAGGUCUAGCCCGGCCCCAGGAGCUGCCCCCACUUCCCGGCAGGGCGGACGAGGCAGGCGGAAAGGCCCGGCCACCUCGCUGGGAGAGCCAAGAGGACCCGGGGAACAGGGCUGGGCCAGGGAGGCACGUGGGGCCACCCCACUCAGGAGCGUCCCCGAGGGAUGUGGCAUCUUUGGACAGCGCGGCCCAGAUGGGAAGCGACUUUGUGACCGGGCUCCUCAUCCCCGGCGGGCACCUGGGCUGCGAAGGACCAGCCGCGGUGCCCAGCUGAGCCACUUCAGGAGGAGACGUGGCGCCAGGGUGGGGACACCCAUCCCACCCGCCUGCAGAAACACGGGCAGACGUGCCCCGGACCCAGGAGCUCUCGUCCAUCAGCGGCGCGGGGCCGAGACGCAGCCCGGUCCGCAGGCAGCGCAGCAACAGGCAGGAGAGGACGGAGAGCAGGGGCUGCCCCCGGGCCGUAGCCGGCCUGGCUGCGGCAGGGUGCCCGGAGGCACCAAAGGACCGAGCCAAGGUCACGCAGCAACUAGAGGCGGACGGAAAGCCCGGGCGUCCGAGUGCGGCGAGCACGCCUCCAGGCACAGCCAGCAGGGCUAUAUUUAG
rnacentral:lncRNA from 1 species